CUUUUUGCAAGAAUAGUUGGUGGACUCGGUGGCAGAGCUGCAGAGGAAGUGAUCUUUGGUGAGCCUGAGGUGACUACUGGAGCAACUGGUGAUUUGCAGCAGAUCACUGGUUUGGCAAAGCAGAUGGUGACGACAUUUGGAAUGUCUGAAAUUGGCCCAUGGUCACUUAUGGACUCCUCAACUCAAAGUGCUGAUGUAAUUAUGAGAAUGAUGGCUAGGAAUUCGAUGUCUGAAAAACUCGCAGAAGACAUUGAUGCUGCUGUCAAGAGGUUAUCAGAUGGUGCAUACGAGAUUGCCUUAGGCCACAUAAGGAAUAACCGCGAAGCUAUCGACAAGAUUGUGGAAGUCCUACUGGAGAAAGAAACAAUGUCCGGUGAUGAGUUCCGAGCAAUCCUCUCGGAAUUUGUUGAGAUUCCUGC
rnacentral:misc_RNA from 1 species